rnacentral:rRNA from 1 species
UACAUAGGUGGCAAGCGUUAUCCGGAAUUAUUGGGCGUAAAGAGCGCGCAGGUGGUUAAUUAAGUCUGAUGUGAAAGCCUUCGGCUCAACCGGAGAAUUGCAUCAGAAACUGUUGAACUUGAGUGCAGAAGAGGAGAGUGGAACUCCAUGUGUAGCGGUGGAAUGCGUAGAUAUAUGGAAGAACACCAGUGGCGAAGGCGGCUCUCUGGUCUGCAACUGACGCUGAGGCUCGAAAGCAUGGGUAGCGAACAGG